UAUAAUCUUUGGCUCUUCGUCUUAUUCAAAUUUUUUUAUGAUUGAUAUUUUUGUUUUUAUUAGAUGAUAAAUUAUAAAUAGUAGUGACUAAUUUUUUUCUAAUUUCCUGAAAAUUUUUCAAAUAAGACGGAUGGUCAAACGCUGGGCACAAAAACCGAAG
rnacentral:pre_miRNA from 1 species